rnacentral:rRNA from 1 species
GACGAACGCUGGCGGCGUGCUUAACACAUGCAAGUCGAACGCGUCGCGGACGGGUGAGUAAUGUCGGGUAAACUGCCUGAUGGAGGGGUAUCACUACUGGAAACGGUAGCUAAUCCCGCCUACCAUCGGCUGUGCCCAGAGGGUAUUAGCUCGUAGGUGGGGUAAAGGCUCACCUACGCGGCGAUCCCUAGCUGGUCGGAGAGGAUGACCAGCAACACUGGAUCUGAGGCACGACCCAGAGUCCUACGGGAGGCAGCCGUGGGGAAUAUUGCACAAUGGGCGCAAGCCUGAUGCAGCCAGGCCGCGUGUAUGAAGAAGGCCUUCGGGUUGUAAAGUACUUUCAGCGGGGAGGCGUUACCCGCAGAAGAAGCACCGGCUAACUCCGUGCCAGCAGCCGCGGUAAUUC